rnacentral:misc_RNA from 1 species
GGCGGGCCGUCGCCGCUAGUCAUGAGGAUUUUGGAGAUUUCGAAGGAUUACCUUGCGAGUGCCGGUCCAAUGCGGAAGAUGUCUGGGUUGUUGCUGGCCAGGCUGCUGACUCGCCCGGACAUGCCAAAGGCUUUCAACAGUUUUACAGAAUGGGCGCAUGAAGUCCUGUUAUCUGUAUCCGAUGAUGUUGUGGAACACUUUAGAUUACUUGGCGUUGUAGA